rnacentral:misc_RNA from 1 species
AACGCACGAGACCUGCGGACCUGCGGAAGGAUCAUUACCGAGUUAGGGUCUUCUUAGGCCCGACCUCCCAACCCUGUGUUUAUUGAACCGAUGUUGCUUCGGCGGGCCCGUCUUACGACCGCCGGAGGACCGUAAGAGGUCCUCUGGCCCGCGCCCGCCGGUGGCCAUAACUUUACAAACUCUGGUUAAAGCGUGUCACUGUCUGAGUACUAUUUUUAAUUAACGCAAAACUUUUAGCAA